AAUCUGGACCGUUAAAUCCUGGUACGCUAACAUAGUUCCCCUUUUUCACUUCUCUAACCCUCAUUUUCUUUGUCUUUCUCCUCUUUCCUCAAGUCGGCCGCGUCUCUCUUCAACUCCUCAGAAACCCUAAAAUGGAUUCAGAUCAAGGAAAGCUGUUUAUCGGAGGGAUAUCAUGGGAGACAAGUGAGGAGAAACUGAAGGAGUAUUUUCAAGGAUACGGCGACGUUUUGCAGACUGUUGUUAUGAGAGAUAAGAUUUCCGGCAAGCCACGUGGCUUUGGUUUCGUUGUCUUUGCAGAUCCUAAUGUUCUUGAUAGGGUUCUUCAAGAUGAACAUGUUAUUGAUGGCCGUACUGUUGAUGCUAAGAGGGCCUUGUCGAGAGAGGAGCAGCAGGGUUCAAAAUCUGGAAAUGCUAAUAGUGCCAGAAAUUUUGGAGGUGGUGGAAAUACCAGGACCAAGAAAAUUUUUGUUGGGGGAUUGCCUCCCACUUUGGCCGAGGAUGGAUUUAGGCAAUAUUUUGAAGCUUUUGGUAGCGUCACUGAUGUAGUAAUUAUGUAUGACCAGCAGACCAACCGACCUCGGGGGUUUGGCUUCAUUUCAUUUGAUUCUGAAGAUGCAGUAGAUAGAGUUUUACAGAAGACCUUUCAUGAUCUGAAUGGAAAGCAAGUAGAAGUGAAGCGUGCUCUUCCCAAAGAUGCUAAUCCUGGUGCUGGUGGCCGUUCCAUGGGCGGCGGAGGCGGUAGUGGUAUGGGUGGCGGAAGUUAUCAGGGAUAUGGUGCAUCAGGUAACAAUCCCAGUUCUUAUGACAGCAGAAUGGAUUCGAACAGGUACAUGCAGUCUCAAAAUGCUGGAGGUGGCUAUCCAUAUGGUUCAUCUGGAUAUGGUACCCCAGGUUACGGUUAUGGACCAUCCAACAAUGGUAUGGGCUAUGGUGGUUAUGGAAGUUAUGGUGGAGCCAAUCCUGGCUAUGGCAGCGCCAAUCCUGGCUAUGGUGCUGCUGCAGUUGCUGCCUAUGGAAAUCCAAAUGCGCCCAGUACUGGUUAUGGAAGUGGUCCUGCGGGUGGACCAAGAAGCACAUGGGGUUCUCAGGCUCCUUCUGGAUAUGGGAAUGUGGGCUAUGGUAAUGCUCCUUGGGGUGCUUCAAAUGCUGGUGGUGGCGGUGGGCCUGCUAGUGGAGGAUCUGGUCAGUCUCCAACUGGUACCACUGGAUAUGGGAAUCAAGGUUAUGGUUAUGGCGGUUAUGCCGGAAAUGAUGGUGCUUAUGGAAAUCCAUCUGGUUAUGGGGCUGUUGGACGUGCCAGUGGUGCUCCUAGUGGUAAUUCACCUGUUGGAGGUGGUGCCGCAGGAGACAUGCAGUCAGGUGCUGGGGGUUACAUGAGCGGUGGCUAUGGUGAUGCCAGUGGAAACUCUAGCUAUGGGAAUGCAGCAUGGAGGUCUGAUAACUCGCAGGGUACCGGUAAUUAUGGUGCUCCACCAAACGGAGCUCAUGGUGGCCAAGCUGGAUAUGGUGGUGGAUAUGGAGGUGCCCCCAGUCGGCAAGCCCAACAGCAGUGAAUGAGAUGAUUCGUUUUUGUCUCAGACUUCACCUUUUACUGGAGAGUUAUUGCGUCAGUUUUGCGUUUCACAUGCAUAGUGCUGCUCUUGCGAGAUGUCACCUGCUAAAUGAGACUGGAGGAGAGGCCUGAACACUGAAUGUGAUGAACAGUCCACUCGGAGAAAAAUACGACCUGGGUGCUGGAGAUGUUGUUUAGUGAAGAAAGGUACUUUACUUGUGGGUUUGGCUUGUUUGAUGUGGUAUUGUCCUGAAACUUGUCAUGGUGAGGCAGACCAAGGCCAAGCAGGCGCUGUUGAGUUGUGUGAUUUGUGCAGGGGUGAAGACUAACAGCCAUCCACGUGGUAUAUGUUGCAUCCAGCUGAUUUUGAGCGUCGUAUUGGCUCUUUUGGAAUUGGAGAGUUAGGCUUUUAGUAUCUCAAUAAUUUGAUUAGGUACUUGACUAUUAACUUGCAGAACUUCUUUAGGUGAACAAUUUUUGUCAAUUAAAUGGUUUCUUUCUCAA